GACGAACCGUGCGAACGUUGUUCGGAUUCACUGGGCUUAAAGGGCGCGUAGGCGGGCGGUCAAGUCGGGGGUGAAAUCUUUCCGCUUAACGGGAAGCGUGCCUCCGAUACUGAUCGCCUCGAGGGGGGUAGGGGCAUGUGGAACUUCCGGUGGAGCGGUGAAAUGCGUAGAUAUCGGAAGGAACGCCGGUGGCGAAAGCGACGUGCUGGACCCUUUCUGACGCUGAGGCGCGAAAGCCAGGGGAGCAAACGGG
rnacentral:rRNA from 1 species